rnacentral:rRNA from 1 species
AGAGUUUGAUCCUGGCUCAGAUUGAACGCUGGCGGCAGGCCUAACACAUGCAAGUCGAACGGUAACAGGAAGAAGCUUGCUUCUUUGCUGACGAGUGGCGGACGGGUGAGUAAUGUCUGGGAAACUGCCUGAUGGAGGGGGAUAACUACUGGAAACGGUAGCUAAUACCGCAUAACGUCGCAAGACCAAAGAGGGGGACCUUCGGGCCUCUUGCCAUCGGAUGUGCCCAGAUGGGAUUAGCUAGUAGGUGGGGUAACGGCUCACCUAGGCGACGAUCCCUAGCUGGUCUGAGAGGAUGACCAGCCACACUGGAACUGAGACACGGUCCAGACUCCUACGGGAGGCAGCAGUGGGGAAUAUUGCACAAUGGGCGCACGCCUGAUGCAGCCAUGCCGCGUGUAUGAAGAAGGCCUUCGGGUUGUAAAGUACUUUCAGCGGGGAGGAAGGGAGUAAAGUUAAUACCUUUGCUCAUUGACGUUACCCGCAGAAGAAGCACCGGCUAACUCCGUGCCAGCAGCCGCGGUAAUACGGAGGGUGCAAGCGUUAAUCGGAAUUACUGGGCGUAAAGCGCACGCAGGCGGUUUGUUAAGUCAGAUGUGAAAUCCCCGGGCUCAACCUGGGAACUGCAUCUGAUACUGGCAAGCUUGAGUCUCGUAGAGGGGGUAGAAUUCCAGUGUAGCGGUGAAAUGCGUAGAGAUCUGGAGGAAUACCGGUGGCGAANNGNNUCCUGGACGAGACUGACGCUCAGUGCGAAGCGUGGGGAGCAAACAGAUAGAAUACCUGGUAGUCCACNCGUAACGAUGUCGACUGAGUGNGCCUGAGGCNNNGCUUNNGAGCUACGCNUAGUCGACGGCUGGGNANU